rnacentral:lncRNA from 1 species
AGAGACAGAGACAGAGAGAGACAGAGAGAGAAAAAGAGAGAGACACAGAGAGAGAGAGAGACAGAGAGAGAGAGAGAGAGAGAGAGACGAGAGAGACAGAGACACAGAGAGAGAGAGAGGAGAGAGAGACAGAGAGAGAGAGAGGACAGAGAGACAGAGAGAGAAACAGAGAGACAUACAGACAGACAGAAAGAGACAGAGAGGGAGAGAGAAAGAGAGAGACAGAGAGAGCAAGAGAGGAGAGUGAGACAGAGACAGAAAAAGAGACAGAGAGAAUGUAUGUGAGAAACCUGGGUCAUGGGUGUCCGUUUUUAGCUGUUAGGGAAGUGAAGGGGGAAAGAAGGUUUGAGAGGAAGUGCUGGGAAGCGUUGCUGAUUCCCUUCCACUCCAGCAUCUGGUGGAAGGCUUCCCUCCAAAUGGCUGCGGAGGACAGAGGCGCUCUGGAGAGGAGGGGGCCACCUCGCAAACAAUGGGAUGUGCUGCCAGGUCGCCUCCAUCCCAGAAGCGUGAUGUCAUUCCCAGCUGAGAACCCUGGGAAAAUCUCCCAAGCCAUCAUUUAAUGUCAGCAGUGAGAAAGACUGAGGUUCAGAAAACACAAGGGAACUCGGGACCACUCACUGGCAACAUUGGGCUGAAACCCAGGGGCCCUGACUCCCAGGCCUUGUCCCCACAUUGUAUGAAUUCUCCUAGGCUAGCCCUCUCCUCCCCCAACAUCCCCUUUGGCCGUCCCAUUACCAGCCUCGGACUUCUGCAGUGACCGAGAUUACUAGGAACGCAGAUCCCUGGGCUUGGGGAGGGGUUCACCUUGCUCUCUGGAGGCGGGGGGCUGUGAGAGAGCCUUCUGUACCUCCUGCCGAGGUUCUGGGAGGCUGGGCUGUGGCUAGUGGCAGAAACGGAGAAGGGGCUGAAAUGAAGCCCACAGUUCCUUAUUGGACACAUUGACGAUAGGGAAAUAGAAGAGAUGGUCGGGCGGCUCACCUGGUUAAAAGCUCCUGGAUAACUGUUGACUGAUAACGGCGGAAUGAGACAGAAUGAGACUGUCCUGAUUGCUGCUCACCACCCUGCAGCCUGGCAAGGACAGAAGAAGGGGCGAGCCGUCUCUGCUGGGGGCCCAAGAGAAAACGGACACGUUAAUGCCCUCAUAAUGAUGUUGGCACCAUGUGAAAUAGCUCUGAGGUGCUGGACUGGCCCAGCCUCCUGCCACCAGGUCUGUCCUCCAAGGAAGUCCAAGGCAAAGAGAAGGCCCGGCAACUUUCAAAGUGGCCACGGCAACAGUGUUUGACAUUGAUGGGGAAAGCCGCCCUGACCUGUGAUGAACAAUGACAAGCACUGCUUUGAAUGUUAUGGCUACGACAUCAUCAUUGAUGACAAGCUGAAACCCUGGCUGAUCGAGGUAACUGGCUGCUGGCUUCCCCCUCCUGCUGCUUUUCAGAGAGCUCCCACUAUGGGCACAGGG